AGAACUCAUGUGAGGUUAACAAUUAAAAGAUUCUGAAAACCUUAUAAGAUAGUGAAUUCCAUAUUAAUAAGUCAAGAGUUCUGCCAGGAAAAUUAGUAUAAUUAGAAAAAUUAGUUUACUUAGAAAAAUUUAGUAUACUCAGAAAAAUUAGUAUACUUGGAAAAAUUAGUAUACAUAGGAAAACUGGUAUACAGGUUUGGUAUACAGGAAGAUUAGUAUGCAUAAAAAAAAAGUGGAAGACAAAGCAAGAAAGUUUUUUUUUUGAGGAGUUUUGUGUUUUUUUUGUGAAUCAUAUGACAAUGGAAGGAAACCUAUAAGUUUCAUCGGACCUGAACUCCACGUUAGAGAUCUCUGGGAGCUACCACCACAUUCUUAUAACUGGGCAGAUAAAAGGAGUUAAACUAGUCUUUAUGGAAAUUAUUCUUAAAACAAAAAAGGUUUGAAUGCAUUCAUCCUUAGGUAAGAAACUAUACGGUAAUUUUUAUUCAAGUAUUGAAAUGUAAAAAGGGACAGUGUUCCCAUCUGUCUUCAAUUUUGGUAUUUCAUAAUAAAUUGUAGCAAACUUUAUUUCAUAUGAAGUGAUCCCAACAAACAAAUUAAACUAAUAAAACAAA